AUUGAACGCUGGCGGCAGGCCUAACACAUGCAAGUCGAACGAGUGGCGGACGGGUGAGUAAUGUCUGGGAAACUGCCUGAUGGAGGGGGAUAACUACUGGAAACGGUCGCUAAUACCGCAUACCAUCAGAUGUGCCCAGAUGGGAUUAGCUGGUUGGUGGGGUAACGGCUCACACGGGCGACGAGCCCUAGCUGGUCUGAGAGGAUGACCAGCCACACUGGAACUGAGACACGGUCCAGACUCCUACGGGAGGCAGCAGUGGGGAAUAUGGCACAAUGGGCGCAAGCCUGAUGCAGCAAUGCCGCGUGUAUGAAGAAGGCCUUCGGGUUGUAGAGGACUAUCAGCGGGGAGGCGUUACCCGCAGAAGAAGCACCGGCUAACUCCGUGCCAGCAGCCGCGGUAAUAC
rnacentral:rRNA from 1 species